UAUCCCAAGUAACAGCAGAGUGAGGAACUGUUUGAGUGGAUCCAGCAUAGCUCUGAAACUGAAAGGCAUCUGACCAUUCUGAGUGAUGGCUACAGCAAGUAAAGUUGCCAUCAAAAAUUACUUUCGUAGGAAAGAAACAAUACAUUUUGAACUUUCGUAAGGAAGUUCAAAAAAACAACUGAUAACCACAGCCUGAAAAGACUGAACACCUACUGUCUGAAGGAGCAUGAAACUUUCAAACUUUGGAAUGACUUUACAUUUAUGAAGAGAAAAAGAGUUCUGGGCCUGCAAAACUUGCAGCCUGAGGAAGACCAUGCACAAAGUACAGCAGAGAUGACAAAACAAUACAGUUGCCUUCUUGCAUUUGAAGAGUGCACUUUCACCAUUAAAAUAUUAGCAAUGAGAAGGAGAUGCAAAGCCCCAGACUCAUAGGAAGAAAAUACAAGAGGCAGGUGCAGGAGAAGGAUGCAGACUGCACAGUGAGGAGAAGUGCCAGUUGUCUUGUAGCUGUAAGAGAGGGAAAAAAAAGCUAUGAAGAGGCUGAAAGUAGACAGGGAGCACAAAGAAGGAGAUAAGUCCUGGAUUUGAAGUACAUGUGAAACAUGUGAUCUAGUGAAUGAAUGAUUUCCAGGGGAGGUGGACAAGCCAAAUGAAACUGAAAGUGCUUAAGCCAAAUCAUAUGGACUUACUCCACUCUGAUGAGGGGGAGACUGGGACAGACUUGAAGCAAGAACUGUUAUCAUGACACGUGUUCUGAAAACACAACUACUACACAUUCUUCUAAUAUGUCUUAUUGAGCAUUUUUGUGGUCUUAGUGCAUUAACAUAGAGGUCAAAUAUGUGUUCAAAUUUCAAAGCACAGAGAACAUGGAAAGACUGUCUG